rnacentral:rRNA from 1 species
GACAGAGGGGGCAAGCGUUGCUCGGAAUCACUGGGCGUAAAGGGCGCGUAGGCGGGAUGGCAAGUCAGUCGUGAAAUCUCUCGGCUCAACCGAGAAACGUCGGCUGAUACUGCCGUUCUUGAGGGAUGCAGAGGAGACUGGAAUUCCCGGUGUAGCGGUGAAAUGUGUAGAGAUCGGGAGGAACACCGGUGGCGAAGGCGGCUAUCUGGCCCGUAAUUGACGCUGAGGCGCGAAAGCGUGGGGAGCAAACAGG